rnacentral:rRNA from 1 species
AGAUUGAACGCUGGCGGCAUGCCUUACACAUGCAAGUCGAACGGCAGCACGGGAGCAAUCCUGGUGGCGAGUGGCGAACGGGUGAGUAAUACAUCGGAACGUGCCCAGUUGUGGGGGAUAGCCCGGCGAAAGCCGGAUUAAUACCGCAUACGACCGUAUGGGUGAAAGCGGGGGAUCGCAAGACCUCGCGCAAUUGGAGCGGCCGAUGUCGGAUUAGCUUGUUGGUAGGGUAAAAGCUCACCAAGGCUACGAUCCGUAGCUGGUCUGAGAGGACGACCAGCCACACUGGACUGAGACACGGCCCAGACUCCUACGGGAGGCAGCAGGUGGGGAAUUUGGACAAUGGGACGCGAAGCCUGACUUACCGAG